UUUUGGUAUGGGGAAAUGUAUUUUUGUGGGGAAAAUGAAACAUGGUUAGUAAGCAGCUUUAUUAUGAAAUGUGAAAAAUAGGAAUAACCCCUCUUCUCAUCCCAAUUAAAAACUAGCAGUAUUGCAAAGAAGUAAAACUAGGAGAAAAAAUACCUUAGAAAAAAAGAUGCUUAAAAUUUUUAAGGACAUGACCAAGUAACAAAGUUUGCACUCCAGUAUCUGAGUGCAGCAGCUUGUACUGAACACCCGUCUCUUUAAGCAGCGUGUGCUAUAGCCCCUGCAAAGCAAACACUUCCACAUUCAUCAAGCUGCUGAACRUCCGUCCUUUCCUCCACUAUUUAUGUAAACUGGUGCUAUGGUGAACUGGAAUAUUUGAUUGCAAGUGAAGCACAGAACGAGGAUGUUAGUCAGGCUCUACCUUGCCAGGUUAGAGCUCGUACAGUCUGUGACCACCUUCUGAGUCGUGUUGCACGUUUUCUCUCUCUUUCAGGCCUGCAGAAGAGCGAGCAGCGGCGGGCUCCUGGGUUUGGGAUUUUAACGUCAGCACCACUUGCCAUCAAGAGACAGCUCUGGCCAAAGGUGACAGACAACGUUUACCUGUGCCUGGUGAACCCCCCAACAGGAAUGAGGCAGCUUGUACUGGGGAACAUUCAGGAGGUAGUUCUGUUGCUCCAUCCRAUACACAAAUUUGCUUAAAGAUGAUACUUGUUGCGGUUCUAGACUAACAGGGAGCCAAAAUUUACUACUUUUGAACGGGAGCACAGACCAUUUAAGCAGAGGAUUAUCUGAUGCCAAAAACUGUCACGGGAUCUGGAUUUGGAAAAUCCCUCCUAUCUCAGUAGACCAGUCUUCAGCUGUACAGUUGGAUUCCGGUUUCCGGCCUCCUUCAAAACGUGGAAAUUCAUCUGGAGUUGGAAGCAGACCCUUCCGGCCUCCUGAGCAAUGGAGAAGAUGCAGAGGACAGCAGUGAGAGGAGACAUUGUGCUCAGGAAACUUUUCCAAUUCGYCCAAGAAAUGUCUUUGCCCCCUCAACCAUGCAUUUCAGUGCAGAAGAACGUUCCCUCACCUCGGAGAGCACCGCGACCUCGUCCCCGAACACCAUGGUCCCUUCCUCUCGCACUGUCAUCGGGAGGGUCAAAAGCGUCAUCUGGCCCAAAAUCUUCAGGACCGGGGAAGCCGUCUCUCCCCCUGGGUCCCCGGCCCUCGUGUCUUGAGGGUCCUCCUCUUCUGAAGCUACAAGAAAAGAACAUAGUACAAACGUGGGGUUUUUAGGCAGCUUACACUGAUAAACUUGAAUCAUCUUCACUUUAAUAAUCAACUUGUUUCAGAACCAUUUUACUUGAUACUGUAGUGCAAACAAUUACUACAACAGGACUUAUAGCACAAGACCCUAGACUGCACUUGGCUCUGUAGUGAUGACAGUUGCUGCAAGUGCGCAGGAACAUCCUAUGCUCUGAAGGACAGGUUAUUCUAAAGUGCAGUUGUCUUGCACAGCGUAGCUCUCAUGACACUGAAGUCGUUUUUUUUCCUUCUAGAAGUGCCCUGGCACCUUCAGUGAUCCGACACCAUUGGGUUCGGUACCUUUUCUUAGG